ensembl:snRNA U6 U6 spliceosomal RNA
GUGCUUGCUUCGGCAGCACAUAUACUAAAAUUGGAACGAAAAAGAGAAGAUUAGCAUGGCCCCUGCUCAAGGAUGACACGCAAAUUUGUGAAGCAUUCCAUAUUUAA